AGAACGAACGCUGGCGGCAGGCUUAACACAUGCAAGUCGAACGCCCCCGCGAGGGGGAGUGGCAGACGGGUGAGUAACACGUGGGAACAUACCCUUUGGUUCGGAAAAACUUCGGGAAACUGAGGCUAAUACCGGAUACGCCCUCUUGGGGAAAGGCUUGCUGCCGAAGGAUUGGCCCGCGUUCGAUUAGCUAGUUGGUACGGUAAUGGCGUACCAAGGCGACGAUCGAUAGCUGGU
rnacentral:rRNA from 1 species